rnacentral:misc_RNA from 1 species
CAAAUCUGAGGCCCGCAUAGGGUCUAUAUGUUCGAGGCAGCAAUGCUUCGUGACAUUUACGCUUGUAUGUUUGACAGAGUUAGUGUGACACAUAAACAAAGA